rnacentral:rRNA from 1 species
GAUGAACGCUGGCGGCGUGCCUAAUACAUGCAAGUCGAGCGAACAGACGAGGAGCUUGCUCCUCUGACGUUAGCGGCGGACGGGUGAGUAACACGUGGAUAACCUACCUAUAAGACUGGGAUAACUUCGGGAAACCGGAGCUAAUACCGGAUAAUAUAUUGAACCGCAUGGUUCAAUAGUGAAAGACGGUUUUGCUGUCACUUAUAGAUGGAUCCGCGCCGCAUUAGCUAGUUGGUAAGGUAACGGCUUACCAAGGCAACGAUGCGUAGCCGACCUGAGAGGGUGAUCGGCCACACUGGAACUGAGACACGGUCCAGACUCCUACGGGAGGCAGCAGUAGGGAAUCUUCCGCAAUGGGCGAAAGCUUGACGGAGCAACACCGCGUGAGUGAUGAAGGUCUUCGGAUCGUAAAGCUCUGUUAUUAGGGAAGAACAAAUGUGUAUGUAACUAUGCACGUCUUGACGGUACCUAAUCAGAAAGCCACGGCUAACUACGUG